rnacentral:rRNA from 1 species
UACGUAGGGUCCAAGCGUUGUUCGGAAUUACUGGGCGUAAAGCGCACGUAGGCGGCUUUGUAAGUUAGAGGUGAAAGCCUGGGGCUCAACUCCAGAAUUGCCUUUAAGACUGCAUCGCUUGAAUCAUGGAGAGGCGAGUGGAAUUCCGAGUGUAGAGGUGAAAUUCGUAGAUAUUCGGAAGAACACCAGUGGCGAAGGCGACACGCUGGGCCAUACCUGACGCUAAAGCGCGACAGCAUGGGGAGCAAACGGG